rnacentral:rRNA from 1 species
UACGUAGGGUGCGAGCGUUAAUCGGAAUUACUGGGCGUAAAGCGCGUGUAGGCGGUUGUCCAAGUCGGGUGUGAAAGCCUUGAGCUCAACUCCAGAACUGCCCUUGAUACUGGCGAUCUCGAGUCCGGAAGAGGUGAGUGGAAUUCCGAGUGUAGAGGUGAAAUUCGUAGAUAUUCGGAGGAACACCAGUGGCGAAGGCGGCUCACUGGCUCGGUACUGACGCUGAGGUGCGAAAGCGUGGGGAGCAAACAGG